rnacentral:lncRNA from 1 species
UUACAUUGUGAUAUAUGCAAUUACAUCAGAGCUAUUUGGCUACUACAUACUCAACACUCAUGGAUAACAUGCCAAAAUGACCAUAACCAUCUGUCAUUUUGCUAAUGGUAAACAUUGCUUCACACCAAAUAACAAAGAAAUUAACUUCAGAAAGCUUUCCAACAUACUUCCUGUUUAAAGUUGAAGAGAGGUGGUAAUGGGCGACCAUUUGGUAGGCGAG